AAGACUAUAGACCUGCGGAGUACCUGCGGAAGGAUCAUUAAUGAGUCAUGUGCUCAAACCCUUCUGUGGACAUAAAUAAAACCGUUGCCUCGGCGGGCGGUCCUUUCCCCCCCCCACCACCACGUGGGUGAGGGAGGGACCAGACAGUCUGGUACGCCCUAAGGGGCGUUCUCCGGCGCCAGCCGCUGGCCCCAACCAAUUAAACUCUAGUAACUUUGUCUUCUGAGUAACAAAAAAAAA
rnacentral:misc_RNA from 1 species